rnacentral:rRNA from 1 species
CCCUUAGAUGUUCUGGGCUGCACACGCGCUACACUGGCAGGUUCAGCGAGCUUCUUGCCCUGAUCUGAGAAGAAUGGGAAACCUUUUCAACACCUGCCGUGCUUGGGAUAGAUGUUUGCAAUUAUUCAUCUUCAACAAGGAUUGCCUUGUAGGCGUGCCUCAUCAGGGCACAUCGAAUAUGACCCUGUAUUCUGUACACACCGCCCGUCGCUCCUACCGAUUGAAGUUUUCGGUGAAUUUGCAGGAGGUUUGCUUUGAAACUGGUUCGCCAGUGGAUUUGUGGACCAAAUGCAUGUGAAUCGAUGGCUUUAGAGGAAGGAGAAGUCGUANCA